rnacentral:rRNA from 1 species
UACGGAGGGUGCAAGCGUUAUCCGGAUUCACUGGGUUUAAAGGGUGCGUAGGUGGGCAAGUAAGUCAGUGGUGAAAUCUCCGGGCUUAACCCGGAAACUGCCAUUGAUACUAUUUGUCUUGAAUACUGUGGAGGUCAGCGGAAUAUGUCAUGUAGCGGUGAAAUGCUUAGAUAUGACAUAGAACACCAAGUGCGAAGGCAGCUGGCUACACAAAUAUUGACACUGAGGCACGAAAGCGUGGGGAUCAAACAGG